rnacentral:rRNA from 1 species
AUGCUAGUCAGCACGAGUUCACACUCGUGGCGAAAGCUCAGUAACACGUGGCCAAUCUACCCUACAGACGCGAAUAACCUCGGGAAACUGAGGCUAAUUCUUGAUAGAACUCUCCUGUUUGAACACCGAGAGUGACAAACGCGUUAGCGCUGUAGGAUGAGGCUGCGGCCGAUUAGGUAGACGGUGGGGUAACGGCCCACCGUGCCCAUAAUCGGUACGGGUUGUGAGAGCAAGAGCCCGGAGACGGAAUCUGAGACAAGAUUCCGGGCCCUACGGGGCGCAGCAGGCGCGAAACCUUUACACUGCACGACAGUGCGAUAAGGGGACUCCGAGUGCGAGGGCAUAUCGUCCUCGCUUUUGUGUACCGUAGGGCGGUACACGAAUAAGAGCUGGGCAAGACCGGUGCCAGCCGCCGCGGUAAUACCGGCAGCUCAAGUGAUGGCCAAUCUUAUUGGGCCUAAAGCGUCCGUAGCUGGCCUCGAAAGUCCGUCGGGAAAUCCACACGCUCAACGUGUGGGCGUCCGGCGGAAACUUCAAGGCUUGGGACCGGAAGGCUCGAGAGGUACGUCCGGGGUAGGAGUGAAAUCCUGUAAUCCCGGACGGACCACCGAUGGCGAAAGCAUCUCGAGAAGACGGAUCCGACAGUGAGGGACGAAAGCUAGGGUCUCGAACCGGGAUUAGAUACCCGGGUAGUCCUAGCCGUAAACGAUGUUCGCUAGGUGUGGCACAGGCUACGCGCCUGUGCUGUGCCGUAGGGAAGCCGAGAAGCGAACCGCCUGGGAAGUACGUCUGCAAGGAUGAAACUGGGGGC